AGGUCCAGCCUGCCCAGUGAUAAAUUCAACGGCCGCGGUAUCCUAACCGUGCAAAGGUAGCAUAAUCACUUGUUCUUUAAAUAAGGACUCGUAUCAACGGCAUCACGAGGGUUGUACUGUCUCCUCUCUCCAAUCGGUGAAACUGAUCUCCCCAUGAAAAAGUGGGGAUAGACUUAUAAGACGAGAAGACCCCAUGGAGCUUUAAGCCCACAGCAAUCUAGCAAAAUACUUCUUAUUAGCUACACAAAACAUGCUUAUAAGCUUUAGGUUGGGAGGACCACGGAGUAAAAGAUAACCUCCGUAACGAAAAGACUAAAAUCUUUACCCAAGAAUUACAAUUCUACGAAUUAGAAAACUAACGUAAAGUGACCCAAUAUUGAUCAAUGAACCAAGUUACCCUGGGGAUAACAGCGCAAUCCACUCUAAGAGUUCAUAUCGACAAGUGGGCUUACGACCUCGAUGUUGGAUCAGGGUACCCUGGUGGUGCAGCCGCUACCAAGGGUUCGUUUGUUCAACGAUUAAAACCCU
rnacentral:rRNA from 1 species